GACGGCAAAGGGGUUGGCACCACACUGAAGGGGAGCUCUGGGUGGGUGGCCUGCACCGAGAGGGCAGUACCACACCUAAAGAACGCAAGGUCUUGCGGAGAAGUUGCAUUCUGAGGCAGAGCCUCGGCUAGUUUGGGGACUGCAGAGGGAGACAGUUGGGGUCUAAUUGAAAACAGUCCAUGUGUGUAUUUGGGGGGGACUAUAGGGACUGAUGGAUGCAGGGCCUAGAGAUGAGUAGGGUUUGGGGUUGUGUGGGAGGCCCUCUGGCACAUAAGAUAGUGUGGGGUGCAUACAGACGGUGGUGGUAAUGCUCUUUUCACGCUCAAACCCUUUUGUUUCUAAGGAGAGUACAUCCUGGUCUGACUCUUGAGAUUUUACAUCCUUAGACAAAUGGGGAAGUGUCUGGCUGUAAUCCUGACAGAAAGUAUUUUUCUAAAAUAACUGGCUUACCUAUGUAUCUACCCUGCAGCUGCCAUUCAAUGUCUGCCUACCCCAUGCUGAUGUGGGGGCACAGCUGUGGCAUCUGGUGGAUGUUCUAGAUACACUGUUACUUGGGAGCAGUGCAUGCUGAUCCUGUUGUGGAGGUUGCUCCUCCAUAAAUGUGCCUCUCCAAGCAGCUUUGGUUUUGGGGAGUGGAACCUCCCUGCAAGUGAUAUUUUCUUCAACAUAACUUUUUGCCUGAGAAUUACACUUUUUUGAAGUAAAGGGAAAGAAUUCUUCAGUUACAUGAAGAUCUUGCCAGCUGCACAGAUCCUGUGAUGAAACAAACAAGCUGUGCAGGUGGGGUACAGGAGUUGACGGGAGAGCAAUCCGCAGUCGAUUUAGCGGGUCUUCAUUAUCCCCUGGCUGGAGUCUCCUUCCAAAAGUGCGCCUUUGCUGCUGAAAUUAAAGCCAAUUGAACUAGUGAACUGAUGGGAUUUAUUGGCCAGCCACUUACAUGCAGAGUUUGAAGUAAUAAAUCAGCUUGGUCUGCAGUAGUCUCUUCUGCGGUGGUGGAAAACCUCUUCACUUGGACUAAAGGAUAUUUAAGAAACUGAGUCAAGCACGGCUCCUUCUCUUCUCAGCCAUGACCAUCUGUUUGCCUCUGCUCUCUGUAACUAUGAUGUCCUCCUUGAGCCUGAGCUUUUUUUCUCUUCCCACAUCUAUAUCAGCAAAUCUGCCUGUCAUCACCGCAGUGGCAUGUUCCCUUUGUGAUACUGCUUUAGUUCCACCUGUGUUGAAAUCUUCAUCUAUUUUCAUCUCCACUUUCCUUGACUAUGGCAACUCUCUUCUCUGAUCUCGUCAAGUACCAGCUCUCCCGAUUCAAGCAUGUGAGUUCUGCUCCCCUUCUCAUGUGCACAAAGAAAUGUGACUGAAUUGCUCCAGCCACAAACUCCACUGGUUGCAGCUUGCUUCAUGCUCCAGUUUAAAAUCGUCUUUGUUUUAUAACCCACCAUGGACUUUUCCCCAAAUGUUCUCAAAUAACUUGUCUGUCUCUACUAUUGUCUGUGUUAGUCUUUAUCAUUUGCCUUCUUGACUGUAGCUGCUACCAUCCGGAGUAGUCACCUUUAAUUUUCUGCCUAAUCAGUCCUCCCUCUCCUUUCAGAUCUUGUUACUAACUUUUAAAUUUCUCUGUAAUUGUUUAACCUUGCAAAAUGUUUUGGGCUACAGUUUGUAUUGAUACCAUAGAAAGCAUGAGUAUAUUGUAAGUAAUUUAGAGGUAGAGAAAGCAGGAAAAAUUGUAUUCUGUUCCAAGUAAUAAAACAAAAAAACCCCACACAAAUAAACAAAAUCUGCCAUCAGAUGAAGAUACCUGUAAUAAUAAAUUUGGUGGGUCCAGUGAAUGACAAAGGUCUGUUCAGUCAUUCCACUGUUCAAACUGAAAGUAUUAAGCACGGGAUGAUACCAGUAGGUGUUCUUUAACAGGCUACACUGUCUCUAAAAUCCUGUGUAUGUUUGAUAAAAUAUAUUUUACUAUACAUGUUA